AAAUGAAUAGACGGGGACCCGCACAAGCAGCGGAGCAUGUGGUUUAAUUCGAAGCAACGCGAAGAACCUUACCUGGACUUGACAUCCCUUGGACCGAUCUUUAAUAGGAUCCUUCCCUUCGGGGACUGAGGAGACAGGUGGUGCAUGGUUGUCGUCAGCUCGUGUCGUGAGAUGUUGGGUUAAGUCCCGCAACGAGCGCAACCCUUGUCUUUAGUUGCCAUCAAGUAAAGUUGGGCACUCUAGAGAGACUGCCGGGGAUAACUCGGAGGAAGGUGGGGAUGACGUCAAAUCAUCAUGCCCCUUAUGUCCAGGGCUACACACGUGCUACAAUGGCCGAUACAAAGGGCAGCGAAAGAGUAAUCUGAAGCCAAUCCCAUAAAGUCGGUCACAGUUCGGAUUGUGGGCUGCAACUCGCCCACAUGAAGUCGGAGUUGCUAGUAAUCGUGGAUCAGAAUGCCACGGUGAAUGCGUUCCCGGGUCUUGUACACACCGCCCGU
rnacentral:rRNA from 1 species